rnacentral:rRNA from 1 species
AUUGAACGCUGGCGGCAGGCCUAACACAUGCAAGUCGAACGAGUGGCGGACGGGUGAGUAAUGUCUGGGAAACUGCCCGAUGGAGGGGGAUAACUACUGGAAACGGUACCUAAUACCGCAUACCAUCGGAUGUGCCCAGAUGGGAUUAGCUUGUAGGUGAGGUAACGGCUCACCUAGGCGACGAUCCCUAGCUGGUCUGAGAGGAUGACCAGCCACACUGGAACUGAGACACGGUCCAGAAUACUACGGGUGGCAGCAUUGGGGAUUCUUGCACAAUGGUCGAAAGCCGUAUGCAGCCAUGCCGCGUGUAGGAAGAAGGCCUUCUGGUUGUAAAGUACUUUCAGCGGGGAGGCGUGACCCGCAGAAGAAGCACCGGCUAACUCCGUGCCAGCAGCCGCGUUAAUUC